UACGAGGGGUGCAAGCGUUGCUCGGAAUUAUUGGGCGUAAAGGGCAUGUAGGUGGUCUCAUUUGUCUGGGGUGAAAGCCUUGAGCUUAACUCAAGAAGUGCCCCGGAAACGGUGAGACUCGAGUAUUGGAGAGGGUCGUGGAAUUCCCGGUGUAGCGGUGAAAUUCGUAGAUAUUCGGAAGAACACCCGUGGCGAAGGCGGCUCUCUGGAACGCAACUGACGCUGAGACGCGAAAGCGUGGGGAGCAAACAGG
rnacentral:rRNA from 1 species